rnacentral:lncRNA from 1 species
GGGAACCAGGUCACGCUGCCAUCCUCACACCGCAGGCUGUAGAGACCUGGGACAGAAGCCCAUAGUUCUUGCCUCUUAGUCCACUGAGAAUAAAGAGUAAGACUCUGAAGGAAUAAAAUGGAAACAAGUGAAUGUUGAUGGAAGCGUGGAAAGGAUGGGAAAGACCAGUGAGAGGAGUCAGACCGAGGAGAGAAGUCUGAGCACCAUGAGAAGACUCAAGAUUAAGGAACCCAAGGAACGAAAGGGAGCCUCCCAAAGACUCAGGCUUUGAUUACAUGCCGUCUCCUACAAUAUGUUGUCAUUUCCUGUUCGAUUAUCUGUCUCCCUAAUUAAAAUGUAAGCACCUUGCUUACAAGAAAACUAUAUUUCCUAGCCUUGUGUUACUGCAUAUAAUUGACAAAGAACAACUGAG